GAAUUGUAUAGUUCGUUCGGUGUGUUCAACGGGGUCACCUAGAAAAUGUGUUUAUUUCAAUCGUCCGUGUUGCCAACUAGAUCAUCUUGACGAAUCACCCACAUCUGCCAUUUGUAUUCUUUUGAAUCGAGAGGUUGCUAUUUUCAAGACAGCUGUCGUGGUACGUUUUUGUGUGUGAAGGAUGAAGUGACGCUUUUUUGUGAAGCCGUAUAAUUUAGGCAAUCAUAGCAGUCGUUUAAGCUUAAUCUGUGGCGCUUGGGAUGCCAUCACCACUCAAGAAAGAUUGCUAAUAUUGCUUCACUACUUAGCUACAGGCCAUACCUUCAGUAGCUUGCAAUUUUUAUUUCGGGUGUCUCGUUCUUCGAUUAGCAGAAUUGUGAAAGAGACGAGUCUUUGCCUAAAUAAAGUGUUACGUCCCUAUUUGAAGCUACCGUCCACUAAACAACAAUGGCUGGAGGUAUCACAAAGGUUUGAGCAGCGUUGGAACUUCCCCCAUGCCAUUGGUGCGAUGGACGGAAAGCAUGUCAAAAUCCGCGCUCCUGCACACAGUGGAUCCGAUUACUACAAUUACAAAAACUUUUUUAGUAUUGUGCUUCUAGUAAUAGUGGACGCUGACUACAAUUUUUUGUUCGCGGAUGCGGGAGGAAAAGGAGGCAUUUCGGAUGGAGGAAUACUUCAAAACAGUCGAUUGUUUCAAAAACUGGAAAACAAGUUGUUGAAUAUACCUGAUCCAGGAAGUUCUCAGCGCAUUUUCAACUACAGACAUUCCCGAGCUCGAAUGCCCGUUGAAAAUGCGCUGGGAAUUGUGACAAACAAAUUCGAAGUAUUAAGUGGGCCAAUACGUCUUCCACCGGAUGUAGCAAAACACGUUGUUUUAACGCCAUUAUAUUUACACAAUUUCUUGCGUAAAAGUGCUUCAAGGCAUAUCUACUCGCCACCAUCUUCAUUCGACAGAGUCGUUAACGGAAACUUGGUACCUGGCGAUUGGAGAGCCAAUGAAGGGUUAGCAGGUCUGCAAGGUGUUUCGUCAAGGGCACCUGAUCGAUUGUUGAAUAUUCGAACGCAUAUGGCACUGGACUUCAAACAUAAUUAUAAUCAUUAUGGUUGAACUAUUAACCAUAAUGGUCAGGUCGUUGCACAACAUGUCAAAUAAGAAUAAGCCAUUGAAAUACAACGAAUUUGUUUGAAUUAAUUUAUCAACGGCAUCGUUCUUAACCUUCACUAAUAACAUGUUAUGAUAUUGAUGUGAUAUUAUCUAUAUUUUUGACAUUAACACUUUGACCGCCGGCCUGACGUCACAGUUUUUGAGUGAGCACGUAGCGCAUGGCAAGAGAGCGAUGAGAGCGACAGUUUCUCGUGC